AAUGAACGCUGGCGGCAGGCCUAAAACAUGCAAGUCGAGCGCCCUAGCAAUAGGGAGCGGCGCACGGGUGAGUAACACGUGGGAAUAUGCCUUUUGGUACGGAACAACCUCGGGAAACUGAGGCUAAUACCGUAUGGUCCCUUCGGGGUAAAGAUUUAUCGCCAAAAGAGUAGCCCGCGUUGGAUUAGCUAGUUGGUAAGGUAACGGCUUACCAAGGCGACGAUCCAUAGCUGGUCUGAGAGGACGAUCAGCCACACUGGGACUGAGACACGGCCCAGACUCCUACGGGAGGCAGCAGUUAGGAAUAUUGGACAAUGGGCGCAAGCCUGAUCCAGCCAUGCCGCGUGAGUGAUGAAGG
rnacentral:rRNA from 1 species